rnacentral:rRNA from 1 species
GAUGAACGCUGCCGGCGUGCCUAAUACAUGCAAGUCGAGCGAACGGACGAGAAGCUUGCUUCUCUGAUGUUAGCGGCGGACGGGUGAGUAACACGUGGAUAACCUACCUAUAAGACUGGGAUAACUUCGGGAAACCGGAGCUAAUACCGGAUAAUAUUUUGAACCGCAUGGUUCAAAAGUGAAAGACGGUCUUGCUGUCACUUAUAGAUGGAUCCGCGCUGCAUUAGCUAGUUGGUAAGGUAACGGCUUACCAAGGCAACGAUGCAUAGCCGACCUGAGAGGGUGAUCGGCCACACUGGAACUGAGACACGGUCCAGACUCCUACGGGAGGCAGCAGUAGGGAAUCUUCCGCAAUGGGCGAAAGCCUGACGGAGCAACGCCGCGUGAGUGAUGAAGGUCUUCGGAUCAUAAAACUCUGUUAUUAGGGAAGAACAUAUGUGUAAGUAACUGUGCACAUCUUGACGGUACCUAAUCAGAAAGCCACGGCUAACUACGUG